rnacentral:rRNA from 1 species
GGGAUUGCCCUAGUAACGGCGAGUGAAGCGGCAACAGCUCAAAUUUGAAAUCUGGCCUCUUUGGGGGUCCGAGUUGUAAUUUGCAGAGGGUGCUUUGGCGUUGGCUGUGGUCUAAGUUCCUUGGAACAGGACGUCGCAGAGGGUGAGAAUCCCGUAUGUGGCCGCCAGUCUUCGCCGUGUAAAGCCCCUUCGACGAGUCGAGUUGUUUGGGAAUGCAGCUCUAAAUGGGAGGUAAAUUUCUUCUAAAGCUAAAUAUUGGCCAGAGACCGAUAGCGCACAAGUAGAGUGAUCGAAAGAUGAAAAGCACUUUGGAAAGAGAGUCAAAAAGCACGUGAAAUUGUUGAAAGGGAAGCGCUUGCAGCCAGACUUGCUUGCAGUUGUUCAGCCGGGCUCUUGCCCGGUCUACUCUUCUGCUCGCAGGCCAGCAUCAGUCCGGGCGGUUGGAUAAAGGCCUAUUAAACGUACCUCCCCUCGGGGAGGACUUAUAGGGUAGGCGACAUGCAACCAGCCCGGAUUGAGGUCCGCGCAUUUGCUAGGAUGCUGGCGUAAUGGCUGUAAGCGGCCCGUCUUGAAACACGGACCAAGGAGUCUAACAUCUAUGCGAGUGUUUGGGUGUCAAGCCCGAGCGCGUAAUGAAAGUGAACGGAGGUGGGAACCUUUCGGGGUGCACCAUCGACCGAUCCUGAUGUCUUCGGAUGGAUUUGAGUAAGAGCAUAGCUGUUGGGACCCGAAAGAUGGUGAACUAUGCCUGAAUAGGGUGAAGCCAGAGGAAACUCUGGUGGAGGCUCGCAGCGGUUCUGACGUGCAAAUCGAUCGUCAAAUUUGGGCAUAGGGGCGAAAGACUAAUCGAACUAUCU